UUAGAGGUUCGUGAGAGCAGUGCUUCUGGCCAUCAGCAGGAAGCACCUGGCUUUGCAAAGCUGGGGCAGAAAUAGGAGCUGGAGUUUAUAUGCCACAUGCUGGCUUGGACAUUUGUUUGCCGAGUGGUCACGUGCACUCUAGAGUGACCAAGGAAAGAGGAGGAGGAUAGAUCUUCACAGCUGUACCAUGGUUCCAUUCUACAUGCCACAUUGUGCACCCGUCUGUGUCUCCCAAUUGUCUUCUCUGCCCUCAUUUGCCUUGGGCUGAUCUGUUGAAAGUCGCAGAGACCAGGCAGCCCUCUAGUGGGAGUAAACACUGUGCUCCUGGCUGUGACAUCAUCACAUUAUGCUUGCUGCAGGGACCCUAAACGACGAUGAAGAUAAUGUACAAGGCAAAGCACCUGCCUCCACUCCUGCUUCCCUCAGGGCUAAAACUGAGGCAGGAGGACAGAGCCCCAGUAACGGAUUUUCUGCAUUCCUCUCUUCAAGCAAAACACUGCUCCAUGAGAACAGAGCAGGUGUGUAGGCACAGCAGCGCCAUCCAAGCUCAUUCUCAGAAAAGAAACAUUUCUUCAAAGAAAGCAUGGCCUGCCCACCCCGUAGGCAACCUUUUACAUUCUCAGAAGAGACACUUGCUUGCUUUCCUGGUGAGACACAGCCUCAGACAUCUGUGUUUAUGAUUAGGGUCUUUGGUCUGAACGAAAGGCCUACUCCAACGAUUUUCCCAGCGUGGCAGGUUGGUUUGAAGCAGUUUCUUUUGUGUCUGUGCCUCACAAGAUAGAGAAAUGCUUAGAGCAUAGAAAUGGUGGUUCCAGUUUUUAUCCUUCCCGUCUGUGCUUUGAAAACGUGAAGACUAAAUUACAGCCAGGGCCUGCAUGUAAUGUAGUGUGACUAACACAUGCCUUCCAGGAGUCUCUGUAAGGAAAACAUUUCUUACACAUAUGCUUAUCUGUCCAGCCAUCUGUCCCUUCAACUAACGGUUACUUAUUUGCUAUGGAUGAAGCAUUUUGCUGGCAAGGAGAUAUUGAAGCAAUAGGUAAAGAUGUGCCAUAACUAAGUGAGAUAAUUUCUAGUAAUGAUAAAAUGAUAAAUGCCACAAUGAAAACUAGAGAAGUUGAUGCUCGAACUGGAAUCUGAGAAUCCAGUGGGGACUGGGCUUAUUACAAUGUAGAGAAAAUGUCCAUUUCAGACAGAGGGGCAAAAUGUACUCAAGUGAUCCAGUGAGGAUGGAAUUGUUCAGUGUGUCUGAAUUUUAGGUGCCUGGGAAAAAGAGCCUUACCCAGAGGCAGGCCUGAAAGGGUGAGUUACCUACAGACUGAUCCAUGUGUUUUUUUUUUUUCCAUGUAGGGUUUAAUUGUAUUUCCUGUUAGACUCAUAAAUAAUUUCUGCCAGAGUUUGUUGACAGUUCUGUUGCUUUAUUAUACCAUAAAUUAUCAGGUAAAGUUUAAGUAUAGUUUGUGAAAGUGAUAAUGUAGCUCUGAGCUUAGCCUUAGAUAGUUUAUAGAUCAAUCAUUACCUUGUGUUGAAGGUCACUGGGAAAUCAGAAAAACAAAAUGUGUCAGAGGGACCAUCUGUUCUGCUGGAUACUGAUCCCUCUCCCCAAGGUCUGAGUGGUGCCACUUACAAAUGCGAUUAAAACCCAAGUAGAAAUGACAUGUCACUAUAUAGAUGACAAUACUGACCACCUACAGAAAUGCCAAACAACCAUACUCACCAUAUAUUUCAUGUAAAGGAAAGAGUGAUACAGCCAAUUAACAGUUUCUUAAGACAUUGUUACCAUCAUGUUACCUGGAAGAGUCACUUCUGAAUAUUUAUCUAAGAGAAAAUACACGUUCACACAACAUCUGCAUCUAAAUGUUCUACCUAUCAACAUUAGAGACAGAAAUAUCUAAAAUCCUUCAAUGACUGAUUGGAUGAAUUGUGUUACAUCUACACAAGGAUAUACUAUUUUGAAAUAAACGGAACUAUUGUUUUAUAUAUAACAACUUGGGUUGAUUUCAAAAAACAUUAAGCCAAGUGAAAGAAACCAUUUUUAAAAAAAGAUAUACAAAGCAUGUGAUGCCAUUUAUUUUGAACUUUCCAGGACCUUAAACUAUGAUGCUGAGGAAAAUGGGUGACAGGGAAGGGGUUGGGAGUUGGUGUUACUGAAAGGGGGGGUGUCAAGAGGAGAGUUGGGGGCAUAGGUCAGUUGGUAGAGUAAUUUGCCUAGCUUACAGCAAGUGGGUAGUGGUUAGCAUUGUAUGAUCUGGCCAUGGUAGCUCAUACCUGACGUUCCAGAUGUUGGGAAGUUGAGGAAGGAGGACCAGAAGUUCAAGGUCAUCCUUGGAUAAGUAGGGAGUUUGAGGCUAGCCUGGGCUACAUGAAACUUUGUCUCAAACAGACAAACACCAAACAUGGCUAACAAGAGGGAGUCUAAGUGAUGACUGGAGUUGUUGGCUAUUCUCAAAGUGAGGGCUCUAUGAAUUUAAAUGGUAUGUAUGUGAAAAAUUACAGAAUUCUAUGCUCAUUUUUAAACUAGAUUUUGAAAAUAUUCAUUUAAAAAUUAAAAUAAGAUACAAUGACAAUUAAGAAAUAUGCCAGUGAUCAGCUUGUCUGGAAAAAUUAUUCUGUGGGGCUCAUUUUUAAAACCAGAACAACUAAUUCCCUCUCUCUCUCUCUCCCUCUCUCUCCUAUCUUCCUACCUAUCUACCAUCUAUUUGUUCACCCACCCACUCAUCCAUCCGUCUACCCACUCAUCUGUCCCCUUGAAAUACUGGCGGUAUAAUUUCCCCAUGUUGUAAUCUUUCCAGAUUAUACCCUUGAACAAGGAUUCAGCAAAUAUGAAUGCUCCAUCAUGAAGAAAUUCUAAUCCUUUAAUGAAAUGUAAUCUGAUUUGCAUGAAUUAGAAGUAUAGAAAAAUCUUGGAUGAUUCAACUGCCUGCCAUCAACUGUGCAGUGUUUUCUACACUGCAAGCCAUUCAAAACAGUAUAUCCCUUUCAGCUUCAAUAUUAGAGCCAAAUAAUAAUAACCAAGAUAGGUGAGGAGCUUGAUGAAGAAAGAAUGUUAAGAGAAGCCCAUACCAUUCCUUUGACGUUGCAGCUGUAUCAGACUGGGGAUUCAAAGUCCAACUGAAUUAAACUUGAAUGAAUAACAUCUGUUCAUUCACUCAGUUUCCAACUUACCCUAAAACUAGAAUCUGUAUUAGAAAGAGAUUCAGAGGUCAUGUAAUACAAGUCUACACCGGUUUGUCUCUCAGGCAAAGCUGUUUGCUUUGUGUGCUCUGAUGAUCUUCCACCUUUGAAGUAUAUCUGAUACAUCUGCUGCUGCUGCUGCUUUGAUUUUUGAGGCAGCUCAUUUCCUUGAUGGGUAGU